AUGGGAUACACGACGCAAUUGCAUUUGCUUACCUUUGAACUAGCUGACUGUGUGGGGUGGACUCCGUUGCUUGAGAGCUUGCCAUCAUUGGUGACAUCAUUCAUCAGGAUUAACAUGAAUUGUGAAGAUGUUUGUAUGUAUAAUGAGUACCGUGGGGAUUGUGGUGAUGGGUCAUGUGAAGGAUGCUAUGGUGAAGAUGAUCGUUGUCUACUUCUUGAAGGGUUGGCAUCUGCUACGAAUUUAGAGCUGAUAAGUGAAUAUUCUGUGAUUUUCAGAAAGGACUUGAGAUGGAACCCUAUGUUUAGCAAGCUAAAAACUGUGUUGUUCAAUGAUUGGUGUCUGACUGCAAACUUUGCUGGACUACUUUACUUUCUUCAGCACACACCAAUUCUUGAAAAGCUUGCCCUUCAACUUCCAUCUCACGAGUAUUUGGACAUCAUAUCAAGUGGAAGCUACAACCCAGCAGAAUAUUUCUUGGUGUCGAAGCAUCUGAAGGUAGUUGAAAUCUAUUGUAGGAAGGAGUCUGAAUGGAUUAAUCAAAUUGUGAACAUCCUUGGUAUUCAUGGAGUAACUUCUGCGCAAAUUAGCAUCAAACAUGAUUUUUGA
rnacentral:rRNA from 1 species